AGGCGCACUGGGGUUGUUUUUCACAAAAACCGUUUUAAGUGAGGUGGUAGGUAUGAUAUCCCCGUCUUUUGUACAGACCAAAAGCUGGGCAACAGCAUCUCUGACUGUCCAAAUCCAGAUGCUCCUUUUUAAUAUUGCAGUGGUCGCGCCUGCAGCUUUUGCAGCCGAAGGCAUUGAUCAGUGGUGAAGAUCCCACUUUUCAGAUCUUCAUUUUUUUUGUACAUUUUUUUAUAGUCACACACAUAUCUAUAUAGAUAUAUAACUAUGGUGCUGGGAAAGGUGAAGAGUUUUACAAUAAGCUAUGACUGUCCUAAUGAUAAUAAUAUCCCCGUCUAUGCCAGCGGAGAUUCAGUCUCUGGACGGGUGAUUAUAGAAGUUACUGGUGAAAUCCGGGCGAGAUCUCUAACAAUCCAUGCGAGAGGACAGGCGAAAGUGCGCUGGACGGAAUCGAGAAACGCUGGUUCUAAUACUGCUUACACUCAAAACUACACUGAAGAAGUAGAGUAUUUCAACCACAAAGACCUAUUAAUCGGACAUGAGAGAGAUGAUGAUGAUUCUGAAGAAGACCUCACCACUAUACCUUCAGGCAGACAUGAAUACCCAUUCAGCUUUGAGCUUCCACAGAUACCAUUAGCUACCUCCUUUGAAGGCAAAUAUGGCAGUGUGCGCUAUUGGGUGAAAGCUGAACUGCACAGGCCAUGGAUGCUGGUAAUGAAAGUGAAGAAGGAAUUUACAGUCUUUGAACACAUUGACAUUAACACUCCAUUGUUGCUGUCACCACAGGCAGGCACAAAAGAGAAAACUCUUUGUUGCUGGUUCUGUUCCUCAGGCCCAAUAUCCCUAAGUGCCAAAAUCGAACGGAAGGGCUACACACCAGGUGAAUCAAUUCACAUAUUUGCUGAAAUUGAGAAUUGUUCUUCCCGUAUGGUAGUGCCAAAGGCAGCCAUUUACCAAACACAGACUUUCUAUGCCAAAGGGAAAAUGAAGGAAGUUAAGCACCUUGUAGCCAACUUGCGAGGUGAAUCACUGUCAUCUGGAAAAACAGAAAGUUGGAAUGGAAAACUACUGAAAAUUCCGCCAGUGUCACCCUCGAUUGUAGACUGCAGUAUAAUUCGUGUGGAAUACUCACUGACGGUUUCCUGCUGUAAGUUUGAAGAGCGCAAAAUUCCCUUUUCUGCAGAUCACCACGCACUACAUCCCGGCCAAGAGGGCGUGAAGGUGACCUGCUCCCAGGCCAAUGCCGCUCUGUAACCGGCUGCCAGGAGGUCUAUGUGGAUAUCCCUGGAGCAAUGAAUUUAACCCUGAAUUUACCAUUAGUUAUUGGUACAAUUCCCUUGCAUCCCUUCGGCAGCCGAACAUCCAGCGUUAGCAGCCAGUGUAGCGUGAAUUUGAACUGGUUAAGCCUCGCACUGCCUGAAAGACCUGAAGCUCCACCCAGCUAUGCAGAAAUUGUUUCCGAGCAGCAGCGACGAAAUAACCUGGCUACCGCGGCAGUACGGGAUGAAUUAGAAAGAGUGUUUGAGGGACCAUUGUUUGCCUAUAUCCAAGAAUUUAGGUACCAGCCUCCACCUGUAUAUUCGGAGAUUGACCCUAAUCCAGAUCAGGCAAAUCAGAACCGAGAGAUAAACCCAUGCUGUUCCUCCCGCUGAUGGGUUUUGUGUGGCUAUCGAGCCUAUUCUUUCACGAUGGUUUAAAAUGCAUCGCUGCACUGUUGAGGACGGAAGACUCGACGCAAAGAAAAAAAACGGUGAUGUUUUAUAACAGUGGAUAGACAGAGACAACUUGUGCUAAUGAAACCGAAAAUCUGUGGCCCAGACAGGAAGCUGCUGAAGAUGCUGGAGGAAAUGCUAAUGUUUUCAUGUGGCACAUCCAAGAAGCAGCUGAAGUGGACAGUGGCCACAGUCUCAUGACAUUCACACCAUUCUACUGGGGUUCUCAACCUUAAUGGAAAUUUGCACAUAUUAUUCAGUGCUUGUGUUGCGCUUCAUAUUCCAUUCAGUCUUGAAGAUGGCUGUUUAUUUUUACUUUUGGUUGUGGUGAAUUGCAGGCUGCAGACUUCAAGUUAUUGAUUUUCUUUUUCUUCUGGGGUCUGCACAGUUCAAAGAUCAAGUCAGCAGUGUACAAAACUGACAAUGCACUGAUGUUAUGUAGCCUGGACUGUACCUGCUUUGCACGUGCUCAGUAUUGUCGCCUCAGACAGGCCUUGCAACACCAACCUACUUGUGGCUUCUUUUAAAACAUCAAAUGCCUUCAAGCCAAUAUUUGUUCUUUUGCAGCCUAUUGUAGUAGAAUAGCAACUGAUCAAAAACCUGGAAUAAGGCUACAGAGAAGAUUCUAGGUACAUUUUCUAUUGUUGGGAGCUAUGUAUUUUGUCGUUACUCCUAUUUGUUGCAUUUCUACAAUAUACAGAGUAGUUUUGUGUUUCAGACUGCCUAAAACACUCAAAUCUCAGGUGAAUUUGUCACUUGCCAAAUUGUUGGUAUUCUUUUUUUUUUAAUGUGUAUUGAUUAAAUUGCACUGUUUUAAAGCAAGGGACACUUGCAAAAUAUGGAUGGAUUUUGAAUUCCUUUUUCUCUCCCCAUGACCAACACCUCAUUUGACCAUAAUAUUUGCUCUCGCAAUGAAGCAUUACUUUCUCCCCUUCCAUAUUUUGUUACCCUGUUCCCAGUGAAGUGGGUCAAGAUUUGGUCAACCUAUUUCCAGAAAAGAAAUUCAAGCAGUUCUAGAUAAUCUAAAAGUCUGAAGAACCUAAACACUUUGUUUAGUAUUGGAUGUCGCAAGUUUCACCACGGCUGAAACUUUUAGAACCAGUAAUGGGCAUUUCUGUUGCAAAAGAAAGUCAAGCUCUUCCAGUUCGAUCAGUCGUAGGAUUGAGUACAAGUGGUCUUAUUCCACGAGUGGCCUUUUUGUGAAGAAUACAAAUUCAACUGAAGUAUGCUAUUCUGUAUUGACACAAGUGCAGCACAAACAUGGAAUAGAUAUGUAGAAGGGUUUGACUGUGGUUAUUCUGCUGUGUAUUGUUCUGUUGCGUUGUGGAUGGAGGGCAUUGAGGUUCACAACAUUUUGCGAGUGCCCCAAUUUACAAAUUGUUUUGUGGGGUAGUUGGCAUUAUAGGGCAUUUGAUGUUUCCAUUUGGGCAAUCCUCAUUUCUUUUUAUUUUCAAAAUUAGGGAUCAACAAUUGCUAAUGUCUACAGCAGGUAUGAAACCUGAUUCCAUAUAAGAAAAAUUACAAAAUUAAAAAGGGAUUGAUCAAUAUUAUUCUGCACCCUUCAUUGGCCAAAGAGGGCUGGUCAUUACUCAUAAUGCUCAGUUUUUCUUUGCUUUUCAGAUCUUGAGUGCAGUUAUUUGAAUGGAGUUCUCAAUACUUCAGGUAUAGAUGUAUUUGCUGAAACUGAAUUGGUGUAAGAAUGUUUUUUUUAAAUAUAUAUUUGUUAAAUAUUGAUCGAUCCCUAAUGUAAGAAAAAAAGGACUUUGUAGUCCAGUAUUCAAUUUGUUUCCUAAUUUAAAAAUUAGGAAUAAAUAUUUUAAAAAUCCAAAAUGUUCUAGAAACCAAGUGCAAUAUUUAAUGUUUUUUGUAAGGUUUAUUCCUUGACCUUGUACAGACUUUUUUUUAAGUUUUGUGCUGUAAUUAUCUUUGUAGAUUUUGUUAAGGAGACAAAAAGUUCCAUGUCCUGUAUGGUUUAAUUUUUGUUUAGCUGUUCGUGUAAAAUAAAAAUGUUUUGCUAUUGA